AUUAUUAGAAAUAAUACAUUGUUAGUAAAUAAUAUUUAUGAAAACAAAAAAUCAUGGCGGUAUCUUAAGCUUUUCAGAGGAAUUUGCUCUUUAAUGGAUAAAACACCCAAAUCUUACUAAAAUUGGUUAAGACAGUUUGUAUACCACUAUUUAAGUAAUUAUUAAUUAUAAUUGCUGUAAAUUUUAAACAAAAAAAAAGUUAAGUCAAGGUGCAGCAUAAAUUUUAGGAUGAAGUGAAUUACAAUGCUUUUUAGAAAAGCGAUUUUAAAAAAAAAAUUAGGAUUUGAAAGUAAAAAUUUUAAUAGAAUGAUUAUUUGAAUUAAGCUCUGGGAUAUGUAC
rnacentral:rRNA from 1 species